UGGGCCUACGGGGGGCAGCAGUGAGGAAUAUUGGUCAAUGGGCGUAAGCCUGAACCAGCCAAGUCGCGUGAGGGACGACGGCCCUACGGGUUGUGAACCUCUUUUGCCGGGGGACAAACGGCGGCACGCGUGCCGUCCUGAGGGUACCCGGAGAAAAAGCAUCGGCUAACUCCGUGCCAGCAGCCGCGGUAAUACGGAGGAUGCGAGCGUUAUCCGGAUUUAUUGGGUUUAAAGGGUGCGUAGGCGGAAUGCCAAGUCAGCGGUAAAAUCGCGGGGCUCAACCUCGCUCCGCCGUUGAAACUGGC
rnacentral:rRNA from 1 species